GUAGGGUGCGAGCGUUAAUCGGAAUUACUGGGCGUAAAGCGUGCGCAGGCGGUUGUGCAAGACAGAUGUGAAAUCCCCGGGCUCAACCUGGGAACUGCAUUUGUGACUGCACGGCUGGAGUGCGGCAGAGGGGGAUGGAAUUCCGCGUGUAGCAGUGAAAUGCGUAGAUAUGCGGAGGAACACCGAUGGCGAAGGCAAUCCCCUGGGCCUGCACUGACGCUCAUGCACGAAAGCGUGGGGAGCAAACAGGAUUAGAUACCCUGGUAGUCCACGCCCUAAACGAUGUCGACUAGUUGUUGGACGGCUUGCUGUUCAGUAACGUAGCUAACGCGUGAAGUCGACCGCCUGGGGAGUACGGCCGCAAGGUUGAA
rnacentral:rRNA from 1 species